rnacentral:lncRNA from 1 species
CUAAUCAUAUUUCUUGAAUCAGACACAGGAAGAAAACGAGUGCGCCUAUGGUGGGUGUGAUGAAAGGGAAAGACAAGAUGAGAGAGAAAACACCCCAGAAAUUCUCCCUACCAUCCAUACAAUCCAUCUGGGUAACCGGUUUUAGUUCUAACAUUCAUUUCCUUGAUUUGGAUUUCUCUUUGGUGAAAUUUGUGUCCAAUUUGGAUCUGAGAAUUGGGUUUUUGUGAUUUUUAAAUUUUUAUAAUUUGGGCAUCGUCUCGAUCAAUUGUUUUUGUUGUUAUAAGAAAUGGGUAUCUGUAUGUUGUUCUUAUACUGUAACUUUGGUCGGUUUUUACUUCAUGCAGCUGUUAUUUUUCAUGUACGGUUCUUGAAUCUGAUUGUGAUUUCUUCUAAGUUGUGAAUUGAUGUUUGGUCAAUUAUGUGAAAAUGGUGGUCUUGUUUUUAUGCAGAUAAUUGGAAAUUACUCAUUCCAAAGAAUACAAGUGUUGUGGGUUUGUGGGUUUUGCGUCUAGAUCUUGUUACCAUUUUUCUUGUAGGGAAUUAAGAAAACCCCUCUUCACUUGCUUCAGAUAAAAUGAUGAAUUGAGUCGGCGUUUGGCGGUACUAAGGACAGAGAUGAAGGCAUUGACGGAAUAAGCUAAAUAAUGGGCGAUUUGCUGGAACUUCAAGACGUAUAGAUCUAGAAUCCUCAUAUAUCUAGAUCUGUUCUGAAUUUUUUUAUUUUUUUUACUUUUAAUCCUCAUAUUUUUGUCUUUUUUUUAAGGAAAAUAUGUUUGAUUUUUUAAUUGAUUAAGAUUUGAUUUAUCUUGAUAAAUAAAUUUAAUUUAAUG